rnacentral:rRNA from 1 species
CGUAGGUGGCAAGCGUUAUCCGGAAUUAUUGGGCGUAAAGAGCGCGCAGGUGGUUGAUUAAGUCUGAUGUGAAAGCCAACGGCUUAACCGUGGAGGGUCAUUGGAAACUGGUCGACUUGAGUGCAGAAGAGGGAAGUGGAAUUCCAUGUGUAGCGGUGAAAUGCGUAGAGAUAUGGAGGAACACCAGUGGCGAAGGCGGCUUCCUGGUCUGUAACUGACACUGAGGCGCGAAAGCGUGGGGAGCAAACAGGAUUAGAUA